rnacentral:lncRNA from 1 species
AGCAAUAAAGCCAUACACUUGAAAAAUAACUUUUUUACUGUUAGAUGACUUGAUAAUAUAACUGCAGGAGAAAAGUAGGGCAUGAGAAUCUGGAGGGAAGUGGUUUCUGAUUUCUACUCUGCCGCAUACAAACUGUGUUAACUUGGUCAAAUCAUUUCACCUAUCCAAGCCUAUUUCCUUACCUGUAAAAUGUAGAUGAUGAUGCUUACUCUCUUUCUACCUUAUUAAGUUGCCACGGGAAUCAAAUAAGAUAAUAGGUCUGAAAGUGCGCUCUAAACUAUAAAAGGCUUUUACAUAGGCCGGGUGCGGUGGCUCACGCCUGUAAUCCCAGCACUUCGGCCUCCCAAAUGCUGGGAUUACAGGCAUGAGCCACAGCGCCUGGCUGAAAAUGUUAUUUUUGAUGAAGCCCAAUUCAUCAGUUUUUUCUUUUUAUCAUUGUUAAGCUUUUUCUGUCCUGUCCAAAGAAUUUUUGCCUACCCCAAGCUCGCAAAGACAGUUUCUUGUGUGCCAUAUUUCCUUUUAGAAACUUCAUAGUUCUGAGUUUUUUAUUUAAGUAUAUGGUACAUUUAGAAUUAUUUGUAUAUGGAGUGAAACAGCAUUAAGGUUUAUUAUUAUUUUUCCAUGCAGAUAUUUAGUUGUUGCAGCGCUGUUUGUUAAACAAACAAACAACAAAAAAAGCCUUUUUUCCAUUAACUCAGUGCUGUGGUUUUAAAAAACAAUCCAUUUUCCUUAUAUAUCAGGGUCUAUUUAUUGACUCAUUUUUUUCAUUGAUUUGACAUCCUAUGCCAG